CCUACGGCUGGCUGCAGUAGGGAAUAUUGCUCAAUGGGCGAAACCCUGAAGCAGCAACGCCGCGUGGAGGAUGAAGGUUUUCGGAUUUUAAACUCCUUUUGUUAGAGAAGAUAAUGACGGUAUCUAACGAAUAAGCACCGGCUAACACCGUGCCAGCAGCCGCGGUAAUACGGCGGGUGCAAGCGUUACUCGGAAUCACUGGGCGUAAAGAGCGCGUAGGCGGGAUAGCAAGUCAGAUGUGAAAUCCUAUGGCUUAACCAUAGAACUGCAUUUGAAACUGUUAUUCUAGAGUAUGGGAGAGGUAGGUGGAAUGCUUGGUGUAGGGGUAAAAUCCGUAGAGAUCAAGAGGAAUACUCAUUGCGAAGGCGACCUGCUAGAACAUAACUGACGCUGAUGCGCGAAAGCGUGGGGAGCAAACAGGAUUAGAUACCCCAGUAGUC
rnacentral:rRNA from 1 species